rnacentral:rRNA from 1 species
GACGAACGCUGGCGGCGUGCCUAAUACAUGCAAGUCGAGCGGACUUGAUGGAGCUUGCUCCUGAUAGUCAGCGGCGGACGGGUGAGUAACACGUGGGCAACCUGCCUGUAAGACUGGGAUAACUUCGGGAAACCGGAGCUAAUACCGGAUACGUUCUUUUCUCGCAUGAGAGAAGAUGGAAAGACGGUUUCGGCUGUCACUUACAGAUGGGCCCGCGGCGCAUUAGCUAGUUGGUGGGGUAAUGGCCCACCAAGGCAACGAUGCGUAGCCGACCUGAGAGGGUGAUCGGCCACACUGGGACUGAGACACGGCCCAGACUCCUACGGGAGGCAGCAGUAGGGAAUCUUCCGCAAUGGACGAAAGUCUGACGGAGCAACGCCGCGUGAGUGAAGAAGGUUUUCGGAUCGUAAAACUCUGUUGUCAGGGAAGAACAAGUACCAUAGUAACUGAUGGUACCUUGACGGUACCUGACCAGAAAGCCACGGCUAACUACGUGCCAGCCGCCGCUGUAACAC